rnacentral:rRNA from 1 species
GACGAACGCUGGCGGCGUGCCUAAUACAUGCGAGUCGAACGCUGAAGGAGGAGCUUGCUUCUCUGGAUGAGUUGCGAACGGGUGAGUAACGCGUAGGUAACCUGCCUGGUAGCGGGGGAUAACUAUUGGAAACGAUAGCUAAUACCGCAUAAGAGUAGAUGUUGCAUGACAUUUGCUUAAAAGGUGCAAUUGCAUCACUACCAGAUGGACCUGCGUUGUCUUAGCUAGUUGGUGGGGUAACGGCUUACCAAGGCGACGAUACAUAGCCGACCUGGGAGGGGGAUCGGCCAAACUGGGACUGAGACACGGCCCAGACUCCUACGGGAGGCAGCAGUAGGGAAUCUUCGGCAAUGGACGGAAGUCUGACCGAGCAACGCCGCGUGAGGGAAGAAGGGUUUCGGAUCGGAAAGAUCUGUUGUAAGAGAAGAAAGAGUGUGAGAGUGGAAAGUUCACACUGUGACGGUACCUUACCAGAAAGGGACGGCUAACUACGUG